UAUUAUUUAAGAUGUAAAUUUACUUGAUUAAUAUUAGUUAAUUUCUUAGAAAUUUAAAAAUAUUUGGCGGUAUAUUAGUCUUUUUAGAGGAAUUUGUUUCUUUAUCGAUAAUCCUCGUUUAAUCUUACUUGAUUUUAUGUUUAUAUAUCGUCGUAUAGAAUUUUUUUUUAGUUUAUUUUUAAUAAUUUAUUUAUUUAUUAUUUCAGAUCAAGGUUUAAUUUAUAUUUAAGUGUUUAAUUAGUUACAAUAUUAGUUUAUUAUUAAGUAUUUAUGGAUAUUAAAUUUUAAUAUUUAUUUGAAGGUGGAUUUAAUUGUAAUUUUUUUUUAUUUUGUAAAUUUGAGUUAUAGCUCUAUUUUAUGUACAUAUUGCCCGUCACUCUUUAUUAUUAUAU
rnacentral:rRNA from 1 species